GAUGAACGCUAGCUACAGGCUUAACACAUGCAAGUUGCGGGGCAGCAUGUCGGUUGCUUGCAACCGAUGAUGGCGACCGGCGCACGGGUGAGUAACGCGUAUCCAACCUACCCUUCACCACGGAAUAAUCCAGUGAAAAUUGGUCUAAUACCGUAUGAGGUCAUACGAUGGCAUCAGAAUAUGACGAAAGGUUUAGCGGUGAAGGAUGGGGAUGCGUCUGAUUAGCUUGUUGGUGAGGUAACGGCUCACCAAGGCGACGAUCAGUAGGGUCUGAGAGGAAGGUCCCCCCACAUUGGAACUGAGACACGGUCCAAACUCCUACGGGAGGCAGCAGUGAGGAAUAUUGGUCAAUGGGCGAGAGCCUGAACCAGCCAAGUAGCGUGCAGGACGACGGGCCCCUAUGGGUUGUAAACUGCUUUUUAUAUGGGGAUAAAGUGAGUUACGUGUAGCUUAUUGAGAGUACCCGAGAAAAAGCAUCGGCUAACUCCGUGCCAG
rnacentral:rRNA from 1 species